rnacentral:ncRNA from 2 species
UUUUGAGAUAGAGGCGCGAUGUUUAAGAGUAUCAUUAUGGAGGUAAGCACUGAGAAGUAAUGAGAAAGGAACCAUCGCCGAAGUAUGUAACCUACGCUUUAAGGGUUAUAUCGCUGGUCUUGCAUAAAAUAUAUGUAAGAUUGUCACAAUUUUUUGUGGAGAGCUAUCCAAUGG